rfam:Populus trichocarpa scaffold_12_contig_96, whole genome shotgun sequence.
UCUAUAACUUGAGAUAUGAGUUGAACAUCGAACAUUGUUUGGGUUGCAUGAUAAAUUCAGACUUCUUUUGUAUUUAUUAAGAUUGGAACUUCAAAACGGUAGUGUUGAAUCUUAGACUCUUCAUGAUUGUUUUAGGCCUAUGCUUUAGAUUUUCAUU